rnacentral:lncRNA from 1 species
UUCUUCCUAAAAUAGUUAUAAAUUUAGUGCAACCUUAAUAAAAAUCUCCUCAGAUACUUUUUUCCUGGAACUAGACAAGUUGAUUAAAAAGUUUAUAUGAAAGAAUAAACAAGUGAGAAUAACCAAGAAAUACUUGGAAAGAACACUAAUGUAGUGCAUGGCUAAUCUGGCUAAUCCUAUUACAUAUGAGACAUGGUCUAUCAUAUGAAACUUUCUAACCUGUGUAAUUGGAGUUCAAGGAGGGAGGAAGAAAAGAAUGUGGCAGAAGCAAUAUAUAUCAGUCAUUACUUGAUAUUUUACUUGGGGUAGUUUAUAUAUUUACAUUACUGAGAUAAAUACAUGAAAUACCCCCAUAUAAAUAUAUAAAUGUUAAUAAUAUAGCUGCUCCGGCUUUUUAAGAAAAAAAUAGAAUGCACAUGGUACAUCUCUUUCUAUCCCCUUGUUUUUAAUUUAUCUGUGUAUUUUUAUUUCAAGCGAGCAUCUUUUAAAUAGCAUAUAGUUGGUCUUGCAUUUUAAAAUCCAGGCUGAGAAUCUCCAAGGAAGACGAAAGCAGAUCUCAUUAGAGCAAGGGAGUGUGUUGCAAUGGAAAUUCACUAGGCCUUGGAGUUAAAAGACAGGGAUUUUAGUCGCUAGUAACUGUCAGAUGCAUGUGAGCUGUAAAGCCUGGGUCAAGCUGCCUUGCUUUCCUAAAUUGUAAAAUGUAGACGUUGGGAAAGAUGAUCCUCAAGCUCAGACCUUCUAUGAUUGGACUACUGGUCUCUUGUACCCUCUGGCUAGAAGGUAGCAUAGUGUUUAAACCGCAGCCCUGUUACCUACACCUUUAUGGAGGUUAAAUGAGUUAACGUUUACAAAAUGCUUAUAAUAGUUUGGUAUGUAGUAGGCUCUAUGUAAAUGUUUAUUAAUGUUGAGGGGUGGCAAGGGAAAACCAAAUGUAGUGACCUCCUUGUCAAGUAAGUCACUGACAGUUUGCUCCUUCUCGGAGAAAGCCUCGACUAUCUCAGGAUGCUCAGAUGAAAUGACCAUUCAUGACCCCUUUCUGUUUAUCCUACUCUUUCUGUCAAGAUUGAUAGACAUGUUAUGAUCCAGCACUACAGGAAGAUUAAUGCAUAUAAAUAUAUGAGCACUUAAGGAAAAAAAGUUUCUAAGGCAGUCUGAAUGGGAAUUGUGCAUCAUAAUAUUUAGUCCCCCAGAGCUGUUAAAAGAAGGGGGUUUUACCCAGAGUCAGAUGCAUCAGGUGCUGGCUUUCUUCCUUCUUUCCUCAUUGCUACCAAAUGGUGUAUUAUUUAAAUUGCAAUUAUAAUAAUUUCUAGGGAUUCCACUAAGACUCAAGAGAGACCUCUCUUCUGCAGAUAAGGACUAUCUGUGACCUGAGCUUCAGACUCAGUUAAUCUCCCACCUGGACGUAGGGAUGAGCUGGAGCAGUGAUCACCUCACCCAGCUUCCCCAGCUUCUCUGAGAGAUGCACAGCCAGCUUUACUUUACUUUUCUUUUUUUUUGAGACAGAGUCUUGCUCUGUCACCCAGGCUGGAGUGCAGUGGCACGAUCUUGGCUCACUGCAAGCUCCGCCUCCCAGGUUCACACCAUUCUCCUGCCUCAGCCUCCCAAGUAGCUGGGACUACAGGCGCCCGCCACCAUGCCUGGCUAAUUUUUUGUAUUUUUAGUGAGACGGGGUUUCAUUGUGUUAGCCAGGAUGGUCUCGAUCUCCUGACCUCAUGAUCCGCCCGUCUCGGCCUCCCAAAGUGCUGGGAUUACAGGUGUGAGCCACCGUGCCCAGCCUUCAACAGCUUUACUUUUCUAGAAUCUGUUUUCUUCUUAGCGAUUGCUAUGGUUUCUACAAGUUCCCCAAAGCCCUGCAGUCUUACCUUGCCAGAUGCCAAGGCAAACAUAAAUAGGUACAAGGUGAUAUUCCAAGGUAUUUAAUCAUAAUGGAUUAUAUUUUAUAUAUCUUAGGCUUUAUGCAAAUAUGUUCAUCAAUAUAUCAUGUCAUUAGAUGGGGGGG